UACGUAGGGUGCGAGCGUUAAUCGGAAUUACUGGGCGUAAAGCGUACGCAGGCGGCUUUGCAAGACAGGUGUGAAAUCCCCGGGCCUAACCUGGGAACUGCAUUUGUGACUGCAUGGCUAGAGUUUGUCAGAGGGGGGUGGAAUUCCACGUGUAGCAGUGAAAUGCGUGGAUAUGUGGAGGAACACCGAUGGCGAAGGCAGCCCCCUGGGAUGUGACUGACGCUCAUGUACGAAAGCGUGGGGAGCAAACAGG
rnacentral:rRNA from 1 species